CCUCGCAGCCCCGGCCUCCAUCCCGCAGCCCCGGUCUCCAUCCCCGCAGCCCCCGCCUCCACCCCCGCAGCCCCGGCCUCCAUCCCGCAGCCCCUCUUUAGAGCCGACCGAAAGCCCUCUCCGAGUUAAGAGCCGCCAACGGUGGGAGAACCGGGCAACUGGAAAGAUAAAUGGCAGCAAAACAACAAACCACAAGACAACAACUGUGAAUACGUGGAGAAAACGAUCCAGGAGAUAACACCCGGCAGGAGGACAUGAGUAAUUACCGAAUGAGCUGUACUGGCAAUGACUGCCGAGCGAGUCGGAGAAAGGAGGCACUGCGUUAGCCUGAACGGAUUAGAGAAAGUCCUGAAGAGGAAGGGAGAUCGGGUUGCCUCAACUAUACCAGCUAUUGUGGAAUCGGCCUCGUUUUGCCAAGUUUCUUGGUUAGUCUUGAAGCAUUCCAGCUUUCUUACCAAAUCCCUAGGAGGAGUGUAACACAUUUUACCAUGUUCUAAUAGUUGAUAAAUACCCUGCCUCGUUCAGAGAGGAGAUGGUGUGCUGAAGUCCAGACGUGUGAACAGUUGAUUCCUACAGUCAUUUCUAUAAAAAACGAACAAAAAAA